GUUUCCCAAUUGGAGAAAUAAAAUUAGUUCACUCAAGGUAGCUCGCUUUUUCCUGUGAGGGGAAAAUUUCCAUACCUAAAAUACUACCUGAUUUUCUUUGGCAUCUACAGACCUUAAUUGUAGAUUGUGACAAAGUACAUCUACCGGAGGAAAUAUGGAGGAUGCCACAAUUAAGGCAUCUCCUGUUCAGGAGAUGUUAUAUACUGUGCCUGCUAGAUCGCCAAUAGAU
rnacentral:lncRNA from 1 species